rnacentral:rRNA from 1 species
AGCGAACGCUGGCGGCAGGCCUAACACAUGCAAGUCGAACGAACCUUUCGGGGUUAGUGGCGGACGGGUGAGUAACACGUGGGAACGUGCCUUUAGGUUCGGAAUAACUCAGGGAAACUUGUGCUAAUACCGAAUGUGCCCUUCGGGGGAAAGAUUAAUCGCCUUUAGAGCGGCCCGCGUCUGAUUAGCUAGUUGGUUGAGGUAAUGGCUCACCAAGGCGACGAUCAGUAGCUGGUCUGAGAGGAUGAUCAGCCACAUUGGGACUGAGACACGGCCCAAACUCCUACGGGAGGCAGCAGUGGGGAAUCUUGCGCAAUGGGCGAAAGCCUGACGCAGCCAUGCCGCGUGAAUGAUGAAGGUCUUAGGAUUGUAAAAUCCUUUCACAGGGGACGAUAAUGACGGUACCCGGAGAAGAAGCCCCGGCUAACUUCGUG